rnacentral:rRNA from 1 species
CCUACGGGGGGCAGCAGUGGGGAAUAUUGCGCAAUGGGCGAAAGCCUGACGCAGCGACGCCGCGUGAGGGAUGAAGGUCUUCGGAUCGUAAACCUCUUUCAGCAGGGAAGAACGGUCACUGUGCUAAUCAGCAGUGAAUUGACGGUACCUGCAAAGGAAGCACCGGCUAACUCCGUGCCAGCAGCCGCGGUAAUACGGAGGGUGCGAGCGUUAAUCGGAAUUACUGGGCGUAAAGCGCUCGUAGGCGGUAGGUCAAGUCAAGGGUGAAAUCCCCGCGCUCAACGUGGGAACUGCCUUUGAAACUGGCAAGCUGGAGUGUGGGAGAGGAUAGUGGAAUUCCAGGUGUAGGAGUGAAAUGCGUAGAUAUCGGGAAGAACAUCAGUGGCGAAGGCGACUAACUGGCACAUAACUGACGCUGAGGAGCGAAAGCGUGGGUAGCAAACAGGAUUAGAUACCCUUGUAGUC